AACAAGGCGUACCUGCGGACCUGCGGAAGGAUCAUUACAAGUGACCCCGGUCUAACCACCGGGAUGUUCAUAACCCUUUGUUGUCCGACUCUGUUGCCUCCGGGGCGACCCUGCCUUCGGGCGGGGGCUCCGGGUGGACACUUCAAACUCUUGCGUAACUUUGCAGUCUGAGUAAACUUAAUUAAUAAAUUAAAACUUUUAGCAACGGAUCU
rnacentral:misc_RNA from 1 species